rnacentral:rRNA from 1 species
UACGGGGGGAGGCAAGCGUUGUUCGGAUUUACUGGGCGUAAAGGGCGCGUAGGCGGCCACCGCAAGUCGACUGUGAAAUCUCCGGGCUUAACCCGGAAAGGUCAGCCGAUACUGCGGGGCUAGAGUGCAGAAGGGGCAACUGGAAUUCUCGGUGUAGCGGUGAAAUUCGUAGAUAUUAGGAAGAACACCGGUGGCGAAGGCGGCCCACUGGAUCGGUACUGACGCUGAGGUGCGAAAGCGUGGGGGAGCAAACAGG